GGAGGAUCCGAGCGUUAUCCGGAUUUAUUGGGUUUAAAGGGUGCGUAGGUGGUUUGAUAAGUCAGCGGUGAAAGUUUGCAGCUUAACUGUAAAAAUGCCGUUGAAACUGUCGGACUUGAGUGUAAAUGAGGUAAGCGGAAUGCGUGGUGUAGCGGUGAAAUGCAUAGAUAUCACGCAGAACUCCGAUUGCGAAGGCAGCUUACUAAGCUACAACUGACACUGAAGCACGAAAGCGUGGGGAUCAAACAGGAUUAGAUACCCUGGUAGUCCACGCAGUAAACGAUGAUUACUAGCUGUUUGCGAUACACAGUAAGCGGCACAGCGAAAGCGUUAAGUAAUCCACCUGGGGAGUACGCCGGCAACGGUG
rnacentral:rRNA from 1 species